rnacentral:misc_RNA from 1 species
AAGAAUCUUUAUCCUCCUACAUAGUUUGUGUGGCUCUCUAAUAUCUGGAGGAAAUAGAUUCUAUUAAUUGGAUGAUGUACCUGGUGCCUAAGUUUAUUUGGUUCUCCUUUUGGGUUUAAGAGGAUUCUAAUUAUUGAAUUGAAAGUUAAGAGAUAUGUGGAUUAUGAAUUGGUUUUUAAAAGGCUGUGUAAUUACUGAAACUUUCAAAUAUUUAUUUGACAAGCCUCACCUUAGUUUCUAACUUCUAGAAUAUGCUUAUAUUCAUGUUAUUCAUAGUGUACUGUUAGUAGGUGAUACAAUUUCUUGUACUUUUUGGCAAUGUCAAGAUUAGCGGAUCAGGCUUCAUGGGAACUUCUGAUUAGGAAUUUGGCUAUUGGGUUUUACAGAAUUUCAGGAGCUGUGACACUCUUUUUUCAAUCUCUCUUUGCUAUAGGCCUAGAACUGGUGAUGGUCUAGUUGCUUUUUUGUGAGGCUAAGAGAUUGGCAAGCUGUAGGUGAUACAGCUCAAUAGUUAAAGCAGUUAUGGCAUCUGGAUUAAGUAAAUUCUGCACCAAUUUUUUCCUCAGCCAAAAUUUCCAUGAACUUCUUUUGCUUGCAGAGCAUUUCUUGAGUUGCAACUGUUAAACAAGUGCUUUGAAUUUGAGGGAAAUGGACAACUGUGUUGGAGGAUGAAGACUAUAUCUUUUCAUAUGAAGGAAAGGCGUUGGAGAAAACAUUUGUUGAGAUCAUGUGAUCUUGGGAGAAAUUUACAUCAUGUUUGGAAAUUGAAAGCCAUGAGGGAUACGUAGAAAUUAUCUAUUUGUUUUUGAUGCUUUAGUAGGGCGCAAAUCUUCAAAUCUAUAUUUUGGUACAAAUAAUGCAUAUCUUUACAGAAGUUGAUUCAGUCUUUAAAUAUGCUAUUCAAUGAUGUUUGUCUUGUCCUUCUGGUUUUAGAAAUCACUAUUUGAAAUAUCAACAACAAACUUUUAUCUUAGUGUUUCCUUACAUUGCAUAUUGUAUUUUUUUUUUCUGCAGAUAUUUCUGAGCUGAACCUGCCUAAAUCAUGCACCAUUUCAUUCCCCGAUGGCAAGGACAAUCUGAUGAAUUUUGAGGUUUCUAUCCGACCAGACGAAGGAUAUUAUUUAGGUGGCACAUUUCUGUUCUCUUUCCAAGUUUCUCCCAUCUAUCCACAUGAGGCACCAAAGGUUAAGUGCAAGACCAAGGUUUAUCAUCCUAACAUUGACUUGGAAGGAAAUGUCUGCCUCAACAUCUUGCGAGAAGAUUGGAAACCUGUCCUCAAUAUAAACACUAUCAUAUAUGGAUUAUAUCAUCUUUUCACGGAACCAAAUUAUGAGGAUCCCCUUAAUCAUGAUGCUGCUGCAGUGUUGAGGGAUAACCCAAAAAUGUUCGAGUCUAAUGUGAGAAGAGCUAUGGCUGGAGGAUAUGUUGGGCAAACCUUUUUUCCACGGUGUAUUUAGCUUUCGUUUGGCGGUGCAAAGUGCCAUUUCACUUAAGUUAUCCAUGCUUGAAUGCCUGUGGUUGUAAAAUUUAUCUGCAAUUUACAUUCUGUCGUCUUUUUCAAUUUUCUGUUUGGAGUUGGGGGCAUUAGUUCCUAGAAGUGCAACUUAAACAAAAACAUAAUUUGUAUGUUACUGUAACUCAUCUGAUGUGAUUUGUAUGUUAACAUGUUGUGACUAGGCUAGACUCUGUGUAUGGCUUAGAGAAUUACGCUUUGUCAGUCCUUAAUGUGCACACUUGUGCAUAGCAUGGCACCUGGUUCUUACCAUACCUUUCGUGGUCUUGAAAUGAACAUCUGCUAUUCUUUCAGUUGAUAUUUUAUGGUAUCACUAGUCAUUAUAAUGAUUCUUGACGAAUAUUAGAGGUGUGCAAAGGGGCUGUACGAUGUGGAUUGCAUGAGUGUGGGCGGCAUUUAAAAUUUGUAUAUAUUAUAUAAUACAGGCACGGCAGAAUGCAAAUAAUGUAGGCAAUGAAGGACGGUCUCAUCAGUAUUGAAACCCUGCCUAUCUCCGUUGAGCACAACUUUCGCAAGGUAUGCAUUAUUAGAAAUCAAAAUUAAGCUUUGAGUUAAUAAUAUGGUACUUCAAUAUGUAAUAUUUUUUUUGGAACCAGGACUGAACUGUAGGGCUAAAUUGGAAUCGUAUCAGUUUGCAAUUUCAGCCAGUUUUGGUUCAAGACGAUUUAGAAUCGAUUAUGAUCUGAUUCAAUAACAACAGUUCUUGUUCUGAAUUUGAUUUUUAUUUUUGAGUGGUUUGAUUUGAUUAUUCCAUGCAGCACUUUCCUACGUCACGUCCUCUAUUUUUUUUUUUUU